rnacentral:rRNA from 1 species
GGGCCCGCACAAGCAGUGGAGCAUGUGGUUUAAUUCGAUGCAACGCGAAGAACCUUACCAGGGCUUGACAUACUACAAAUCUUUUAGAGAUAGAAGAGUGCUUUCGAGAAUGUAGAUACAGGUGGUGCAUGGCUGUCGUCAGCUCGUGUCGUGAGAUGUUGGGUUAAGUCCCGCAACGAGCGCAACCCUCGUUUUUAGUUGCCAAUUUAUUGGUUUUUUAGAAAGACUGCCGGUGACAAACCGGAGGAAGGUGAGGAUGACGUCAAGUCAGCAUGCCCCUUAUGUCCUGGGCUACACACGUGCUACAAUGAUGGGGACAAAGAGUUGCCAAUCCGCGAGGAUGAGCUAAUCUCAUAAACUCCAUCUAAGUUCGGAUUGUAGGCUGCAACUCGCCUACAUGAAGUUGGAAUUGCUAGUAAUCG